CAGGGGAAGUCAUAGGAAGAGAGAGCUGCUUUAUUGAACAGCACAAGCAUCACUGCCAAUUAAAAACACCAACACACAACAACAUACAAAAUUGACAUGUAAGAGAGAGCAGCGUAGGCGCCACGUUUGGUCAUGGCGGAUCCUUUGAAAAGCCGAUCGUCGGUGUCAUUCUCUCCGGCGAGAGGAGGAUCGGAGACCGGAAGAACAGGAUUCCUCAUGAGGUAGAAUCUCUCCACAGUUGUCGUCUUCCUCCUUGUUGGCCGUCUCUAUGACUCUCCUUUUGUCCGGCAAAACUCGAGUCACCGCCGUGAUGAGUGAACGUAGAAGACACGGGACAUUUGAGUGGACCACCUCUGUCUCUGUGUGUGUGGCGAUUGUUUUUUGUAAUUAUUAUUAUUAUUAUGAAAAUUAUUAUAAAUUCAACUUGUUUUUUUACUAUUUGUGGUUAAGCCCCAAUGAGAGAGUUUAUGGGCUUUUAGCCUUAUCAGAUGUCAAUUUUCGAAUUUCUUUUCAUAACAUCUAUCAUUUUUCAAAAAUCCUAAAAA